UUAGAGUUUCCCAAUAUAAGGCAGCUUAAUGUUAAUGGGAACUAGGCUUAGUUCCCAUUAACUUCAAGCUGCCUUAUAUUGUGCUUAUU